rnacentral:tRNA from 1 species
GGAUGGCUCAGUCGGUUAAGCAUCUGACUUUGGCUCAGGUCAUGAUCUCAUGGUUCGUGGGUUUGAGCCCCACGUCCA